rnacentral:ribozyme from 1 species
UGCUCAGCAACUCCUAUCCCUACUUCCGCGUGGUACCGGCUGGAAACUACGAUCAACCUUAUGGAAUAUCAGGUAACCAACCCUGGUGGGAACUUUAGUCAUAGGCUAACAGGGAAGG